rnacentral:rRNA from 2 species
AAACGACUCUCGGCAACGGAUAUCUCGGCUCUUGCAUCGAUGAAGAACGUAGCAAAAUGCGAUACGUGGUGUGAAUUGCAGAAUUCCGUGAACCAUCGAGUUUUUGAACGCAAGUUGCGCCCAAUGUCAUUUGGCUGAGGGCACGUCUGCCUGGGCGUCACAC